UGGACAUCAAUCCAGCACACCUGCAAUAGCCGUCGCCAUCUUUGGCUUUGAGUACCGCGAAAAGUGUCCCUUCCGAAAAGAAGAGAACCCGAGUCAUCCGACCGGUCCAGCACCGCGGCCGGGCCUUCCGCCCGGACAAAGCAGAAUCUCCCACCAGCAUCGGUGCAGAGAAAGAAGAAGAACAGCAGCAGCAAAUCAUACCAACAAGGAAGAAGAAGGGUCUUCGUCUCCCUGCAUCCAUCGUCCAUCUGAGGACCCAAACGGCCGGUGCCAAUGGACCUCCAUCCACCAUAGGCCGCGACCUCGAUGAGAUCCGGGGAUCCCUCACCCCGCUGGCUCCUAGACGAAGGCAAAAACCUCGCCUGACCGUGAACGAAGCCCGGAGAAACUUAUUCCGACGCGACACCACCGCAACGGCCUCGGCAGUGUCUCCCUCGACCCUAACCCUACCACACACCCACCAAAUGAAUAGACCCGAGGUUCCCUCUCCCUCCCGUCGUCGGAGGCGCCACCGGCGGCGCGCAAGGGAACCUUGUCGCCUGCCAAUAUAGCCUCGUGCGAUCCUAUUUUCCCGCUGCGGUCGUUUCGUGACCCACGGACACAAGGUUUUGCCACCUUUUUUCUUGCCUCUGUUGGACUUUGUUACAAACUUCUCUCUUAAUUAAUAAAAUGGCAAGCCUUUUGACUUGUUUAUAUAAUAAUAAAGAAAAGAAAAAGACAGUUUCAGCGUUUCUUUCCAGAUCGCUUCGGCCUCCUCUCUGUCCUCCGGAGACCAGGACUCCUCACGCUCACGGCCUCACCACUCACCGCUUCUCCCACCUCCUCCGCCGCCGCAAUGGCAGGGGAAAGCACGGCAGCCACCUCAUCGCUCGCAUGCGCACCCGCCCCGGCGCCGGCAGACGCACUCCUGCCCACUCCGCCAGCCGCCCAGCGUCCCGAGCAACGCGACCUUGGGACUGGGAGGCUCAUAUGGGCGGUAAUAAGCUGGACUGGAGGUUGCGCGGGGAGGCGGAGCCCGGAGCCGCCGUGCCUGGCGACAUGGGCGGCGAGGUAAGAGGCUAGAACCCUAGAAUUUUGGCACUACCUAUAUCUGAAUCUGCCACUCGCUCUUCUUCUGAAAAAAAAUCUGCUAUUACCUGUUUCCUCUGCAGUUCCGUUUGUGGAUUGCCCUCCUGCUGGCUGGAUGUUAGGGGCAAUGGAUCCUGAUCAUCUACUGUCCUCUUUUUUACCAUCUAGGUAGACCGGGCAUGAGGUUUGGUUGUUUAGGUUCAGGCAUCGACUGAACUUGGUGAAUCCAAACUACUUGAUGAGAAGACAAGUACUACUACUCGUAGGUCUGCAUACUUUCAUCUGAACUUUUAGGUGGCCUGUCACCUGUCAGGUGGUGAACUCAAUCAAUUAUACCCAUGAGCAAUGGUCUGCAUGAUAAUAUUUCAUAUUUGGUGUAGGCACCAAUAUGUAUAUGUACAGACAAAGGCCAGCAGUUUAAAGCAUCCCCUCUGGUAUCCAGUGUUUGCUUGAAGCAUCCACUUGACUUCAGGGAAGGAAAUGAGAUGGAAAGGGGAAAAUGAUAACAGG
rnacentral:lncRNA from 1 species